rnacentral:rRNA from 1 species
UACGUAGGGUGCGAGCGUUAAUCGGAAUUACUGGGCGUAAAGCGUGCGCAGGCGGUUCGCUAAGACCGAUGUGAAAUCCCCGGGCUUAACCUGGGAACUGCAUUGGUGACUGGCGGGCUAGAGUGUGGCAGAGGGGGGUAGAAUUCCACGUGUAGCAGUGAAAUGCGUAGAGAUGUGGAGGAAUACCGAUGGCGAAGGCAGCCCCCUGGGUCAAGACUGACGCUCAUGCACGAAAGCGUGGGGAGCAAACAGG